rnacentral:rRNA from 1 species
GAGGAAUAUUGGUCAAUGGACGCAAGUCUGAACCAGCCAUGCCGCGUGCAGGAAGACGGCUCUAUGAGUUGUAAACUGCUUUUGUACGAGGGUAAACUCACCUACGUGUAGGUGACUGAAAGUAUCGUACGAAUAAGGAUCGGCUAACUCC